AAACGGMCAGAGCCCGUGAAUCCGGGCGAUAGAAUUCAAAAUCGAUGGCGGCUUUGUCGUCGUUGGUUUGAUAUUUCUGUCGCCGUUUUACGGACGUCGCGAUCCGUUCGGUGUUARUCGAAGGUGCGCGCGUAAGUUCGUUGAUACGNGUCGAUUUGUCUCGAUGCGUGKUGCGAGUGCGUGUUUCCUGGCUGACUUGCCGGACGGUACGAAGUGGUGUCUGUGGCGACUGCAAAGUUGUUCACAGUGCCGAUACUGCGACGAUUCUUCGGGYCUUUUYCGCCA
rnacentral:rRNA from 1 species